AUUGAACGCUGGCGGCAGGCCUAACACAUGCAAGUCGAGCGGAUGGAGGGAGCUUGCUCCUGGAUUCAGCGGCGGACGGGUGAGUAAUGCCUAGGAAUCGGCCUGGUAGUGGGGGAUAACGUCCGGAAACGGGCGCUAAUACCGCAUACGUCCUGAGGGAGAAAGUGGGGGAUCUUCGGACCUCACGCUAUCAGAUGAGCCUAGGUCGGAUUAGCUAGUUGGUGGGGUAAAGGCCUACCAAGGCGACGAUCCGUAACUGGUCUGAGAGGAUGAUCAGUCACACUGGACCUGAGACACGGUCCAGACUCCUACGGGAGGCAGCAGUGGGGAAUAUUGGCCAAUGGGCGAAAGCCUGAUCCAGCCAUGCCGCGUGUGUGAAGAAGGUCUUCGGAUUUUAAAGCACUUUAAGUUGGGAGGAAGGUCAGUAAGUUAAUACCUUGCUGUUUUGACGUUACCAACAGAAUAAGCACCGGCUAACUUCGUG
rnacentral:rRNA from 1 species